GACGAACGCUGGCGGCGUGCUUAACACAUGCAAGUCGAACGGAAAGGCCCUGCUUUUGUGGGGUGCUCGAGUGGCGAACGGGUGAGUAACACGUGAGUAACCUGCCCUUGACUUUGGGAUAACUUCAGGAAACUGGGGCUAAUACCGGAUAUGAGCUCCUGCUGCAUGGUGGUGGUUGGAAAGUUUCGGCGGUUGGGGAUGGACUCGCGGCUUAUCAGCUUGUUGGUGGGGUAGUGGCUUACCAAGGCUUUGACGGGUAGCCGGCCUGAGAGGGUGACCGGCGACAUUGGGACUGAGAGACGGACCAGAAUCCUACGGGAGGCAGCAGUGGGGAAUAUUGCACAAUGGGCGGAAGCCUGAUGCAGCAACGCCGCGUGCGGGAUGACGGCCUUCGGGUUGUAAACCGCUUUCGCAUGUGACGAAGCGUGAGUGACGGUAAUGGGUAAAGAAGCAACGGCUAACUACGUG
rnacentral:rRNA from 1 species